rfam:Triticum aestivum genome assembly, contig: Triticum_aestivum_CS42_TGACv1_scaffold_602941_7DL
GAAGUACUCCCUCCGUUUGGAAUUACUUGUCUCGAAAAUGGAUGUAUCUAGAAUUAGAAUACGUGUAGAUACAUUCAUUUCCGCGACAAGUAAUUCCGAACGGAGGGAGUACUAG